rnacentral:rRNA from 1 species
AACGAACGCUGGCGGCAUGCCUAACACAUGCAAGUCGAACGAGACCUUCGGGUCUAGUGGCGCACGGGUGCGUAACGCGUGGGAACCUGCCUUUAGGUUCGGAAUAACUCAGAGAAAUUUGAGCUAAUACCGAAUGAUGUCUUCGGACCAAAGAUUUAUCGCCUUUAGAUGGGCCCGCGUUGGAUUAGCUAGUUGGUGGGGUAAAGGCCUACCAAGGCGACGAUCCAUAGCUGGUCUGAGAGGAUGAUCAGCCACACUGGGACUGAGACACGGCCCAGACUCCUACGGGAGGCAGCAGUGGGGAAUAUUGGACGAUGGGCGAAAGCCUGAUCCAGCAAUGCCGCGUGAGUGAUGAAGGCCUUAGGGUUGUAAAGCUCUUUUAACCGAGAUGAUAAUGACAGUAUCGGGAGAAUAAGCUCCGGCUAACUCCGUG